UACGGGAGGCAGCAGUGGGGAAUAUUGCACAAUGGGCGCAAGCCUGAUGCAGCCAUGCCGCGUGUAUGAAGAAGGCCUUCGGGUUGUAAAGUACUUUUAGUCGUGAGGAAGGUGUUAAGGUUAAUAACCUUAGCAAUUGACGUUAGCGACAGAAGAAGCACCGGCUAACUCCGUGCCAGCAGCCGCGGUAAUACGGAGGGUGCGAGCGUUAAUCGGAAUUACUGGGCGUAAAGGGCACGCAGGCGGUUAAUUAAGUUGGAUGUGAAAUCCCCGGGCUUAACCUGGGAAUGGCAUUCAAGACUGGUUAGCUAGAGUCUUGUAGAGGGGGUAGAAUUCCAUGUGUAGCGGUGAAAUGCGUAGAGAUGUGGAGGAAUACCGGUGGCGAAGGCGGCCCCUGGACAAAGACUGACGCUCAUGUGCGAAAGCGUGGGGAGCAAACAGGGAUUAGAUACC
rnacentral:rRNA from 1 species